rnacentral:rRNA from 1 species
AACGAACGCUGGCGGCAUGCCUAACACAUGCAAGUCGAACGAGACCUGCGGGUCUAGUGGCGCACGGGUGCGUAACGCGUGGGAACCUGCCCUUAGGUUCGGAAUAACUCCCCGAAAGGGGUGCUAAUACCGGAUAAUGUCUUCGGACCAAAGAUUUAUCGCCUUUGGAUGGGCCCGCGUUGGAUUAGCUAGUUGGUAGGGUAAAAGCCUACCAAGGCGACGAUCCAUAGCUGGUCUGAGAGGAUGACCAGCCACACUGGGACUGAGACACGGCCCAGACUCCUACGGGAGGCAGCAGUGGGGAAUAUUGGACAAUGGGCGAAAGCCUGAUCCAGCAAUGCCGCGUGAGUGAUGAAGGCCUUAGGGUUGUAAAGCUCUUUUACCCGGGAUGAUAAUGACAGUACCGGGAGAAUAAGCUCCGGCUAACUCCGUG